GCCAGGUGCAGUGGCUCAUGCCUGUAAUCCCAGCAGCUCGGGAGGCUGAGUCAGGAGGAUCAUGAGUUCAAAGCCAGCCUCAGCAACAGCAAGGCACUAAGCAACUCAAUGAGACCCUGUCUCUA
rnacentral:sRNA from 1 species